CAAUAGCGUAUAUUAAAGUUGUUGCAGUUAAAAAGCUCGUAGUUGGAUUUCUGUUGGGAACGACCGGUCCGCCCAUUGGGUGUGUAUCUGGCUUGUUCUCGGCAUCUUCUUGGUGAACGUUGCUGCACUUGACUGUGUGGAGCGCUACCCAGGACUUUUACUUUGAGGAAAUUAGAGUGUUUCAAGCAGGCAUAUGCCUUGAAUACAUUAGCAUGGAAUAAUAAGAUAGGACCUCGGUUCUAUUUUGUUGGUUUCCAGAGCUGAGGUAAUGAUUAAUAGGGAUAGUUGGGGGCAUUCGUAUUUAACUGUCAGAGGUGAAAUUCUUGGAUUUGUUAAAGGCGGACUACUGCGAAAGCAUUUGCCAAGGAUGUUUUCAUUGA
rnacentral:rRNA from 1 species